GCCGGGCGGGGCGACCGUCGGGCGGAGGGCGGACACUUGUUGCCGGGAGGAGGCAGCGCCGAGGUCCUGCCGGCCCGGGGCAGCCUCUCCAGCCGGGCCGCCGGCGGGGCGGGAGGCCACCCCCGGGGACGCGGCGACGUCCCCGGCCGCCCUGCCGCGGUCCCCUCUGUCCCGGUUGGGGUGGGGGCGCGCUCCCCGAGGUCCCAGGUCCCCAGCACCUGCCGGGCCGCGCGCUGCGCGCCCAGGGGCUAGCUUUUCACCUGGGCUAGUAACCCCCUCCUAGCGACGCUCCAGUCCCCGGGUGUUAACUCGGGUGGGGAGGGGGGCGACGUAGUAGGAGACAAUCGGAGGAUGAAUUAGCUCCCCGAGCGGCCGGGGAGCUCGUAUCGUCACCUGGGGGCUUGGACCGUGCCGGGCACUUACUCCUUUGAGGAGGGGGUCGCCUCAUUCAUGGGGAGGAGGAAACAGACGUUGAGCGGCGACGUGACUCAGUGUUACAAACAGGACGGCGUCUCGGCAUUCUCAAUCUGCACGCCUGAAAGCAAAGCCAAUGUUUGGGUACUGUUUUAGGCCCAGUGGAUAGAGUGGUGAACACAGUGAGCUUCCUGAUUAUGUACUAGCAGUUGAGGAAGAGAUAGACAGUCAAAAAAAGUAAGUGAACAAGGUGAUUUCAGAUGGUGGUCAGUGCAGUGCAGGACAUACCCAGGAUGAUGUGAUCGGGAGUGACCAGGGAGAGGAGAGGGACUGGGUGGUAUCAGUCAGGGCCUAACAGGAACCCAGUGAUAUCGUCAGGGCCUAACAGGGACCCUAUGGUAUCAGUAAGGGCCUAACAGGGACCCUACGGUAUCAGUAAGGGCCUAACAGGGACCCUAUGGUAACCAAGAACUGGUUAACUGGGGCAGGACUGAGGGAGUCAGAGGGAGUGUUGGGAGGAAGUCGUAUUGCUGGAACCCUAGGAGAGGAGCCUCUUGGCAGGAGCUACAGACGUGGAGGGAUGGAAUUGAGAUGCUGAAGCCGCGAGUUGCAGGUAAGAAAUACCCCAGCUUGCCCCAGCUUUCUGAUCUCGUUGGCAGAGCCCAGCUGGCAGCCAGGAGGCCAGGGAGUCCAACCAAUGCAGUCCGUAGGUGGGUCAGCCUUCCAGGGCCCAGAGAAGAGUGGAGAGAGCAGAGAAUGGCUCUGGGAUCAGUGCAGGUAAAGAGGACGUGCGGAGAGGGUCAGCAUGCGGCCGCUUUAGACUGAGUGGCCCCGGAAGGCCACUCUGCACAGCUUGGACUUGCCUGGCAGGAAGAAGCUCCUCAUGUAGAUUUUGUGUGGCCGGUGUCCAGGCAGAGGGAAUAGCAAAUACAGAAGUUCCAGUGCAGGGAUGAACGAGUGUGUGCAGAGGGCCCAGUGAGGGCAGUGGUGGUGGCCGAGGUUGACGCAGCCGGGGAACGGUUCCACGGGAGCCUGGAGGCCCUGGGAGGGGUUCGGAUCCUGUUCUAGUUGCAAAGCUAGGUGGAGAAUGUCUUUGGGGGAAGGAGGUUGGGUGGGCAGGAGAGGAAGCAAAGAGGCCCCUUAGGAGGCUCUUGACUUUGGUUGUCAGGGGAGCUGUGAGGGUGUCUGGACUAGGGUGGAGACGUGGGAGACAGUGCCUAUCCUUUCCAUUUGGGGGUCAGGAGCCUCAGAAUGUGGACAGGGGGAGCUCCGUGCCUUGGUUGCCCAUCUCCAGGGUCCUGCAGAGACCGUUGGUAAGCCUUCCAGUAGAAAGAUAAAUUUCUCAUUUAGGUGAAACCAUUCCUCCAGGUGGGAAGAUGUGGCUUCUGAGAUUUCAGUCUGACGGCCUUAUUAUUUUGAAGGCCAUUCUUAUUAAAGCUGGAGUGUCACCUUUGGGUGGUGUAAUGAAAACAUGAUUCUACUUCAGGUCAGUGGUAUCUGACCCUUGAGUCGGCGGACCAUUGACUGCAUUGCCAACAAAAGUCCCUGUGCUGGUGGUGUGGCCACAUCCUCUCUUUAACCAGUCUGUUGGAGGAUCAUCUGGGUGAGUGAUGGUGUCUUAACCUGUUAGGGCUACUGUAACAAAAUGCCACAGAUUGGGUGGCUUAUAAAAAUAGAAAUUUAUUUCUCACAGUUCUGGUGGCCAGCAUGGCUGGGUGAGGGCCCUCUUCUGGGUUGCAGACUUCUCGCUGUGUCCUCCCAUGGUGGAAGGGAUGGGGUCUCUUUUAUAAGUGCGCUAAUCCCAUCAUGAGGGCUUCAUCCUCAUGAUCCCUAAUCACCUCCCAACAGCUAAUACCAUCACCUUUGGGGGUGAGGACAUCAAUGUAUGAAUUUGGGGGAAACACAAACAUCCAGAUGGUGGCAGAUGGUGUGAAGGAAAAAGGCUAUGUCAGUGUUCUUUACGUGUGUUCAUACCAGUCUCUAACCUUAAUUGUAAAGUAAAGAAAGAAAUUGACCUGAACUGCCAAUUCAUUUGGGAAUUUAUAUUGGAAGCCCGUUUUCUAACUGUAACAGUUGGAUCUGAUAUGUAAAAUUUGUUUUUGUUAGCUGGAUCAUCAAAUUAUUAUAAAUAAUUUAUAAUUAACAUGUUCAUUAAAUGUUUAUCCAAAAAAUAA